rnacentral:lncRNA from 1 species
GGAUUCCCAGCCCAGGAAACAGGCUGCGCGGUCACAGCCCUCAGAGCUGCUGCCGCAGGAAAGGGUUUGGAAGCCGGGUCGCGGGUCUGGCGUGGUGUCCCGACCCCGCCCAACCUGGCCAGCUCCCUUCCGAAGUGCGCAAACCGGGCGUGCGGUCCCGCGUGAGUGUGUGUGUGUGCGCGCGUGGUGCUGGGGUUGAACCCAGGGCCUUCACAUCCCAUCCCCAGUCCAUUUGUUUUGUAUGUUGAGACAGAAUCUCACUAAAGUGCCCAGGCUGGGUUCAAACUUGCGAUCUUCCUGCCGCAGCCUCCCACAGUGCCGGGAUGACAGGCGUGCGCUGCAGCCCCCGGCCAGGGACACUUAGGCGCUUUUGUGCUUGUGCAAGAGUCACAGGCGGCAGUCACAGCCAGGAUGGCCCGGGCCCUGGCGUGCCAUCUUCCGGAGCCGCAGUCGCUGUCACUUGGUGGGCUGGGGUCCCCACUGGCUGCUCCCAGCUCCUCCUGGCAGCCGUAGCUCGGAGACUCGGCCUCUCCCCGUCCACGCAGGAUUAAACCCUGACGCGGGGGCUUUAGAGACUUUGUGGGCUGAUUCGUGGUUCACCUCGUUUGAGGCCUGAGGCUGUGCUGGGCAGAGGAGGGAGAGAGUCCCACGUGGGAGCGGCUGUGGGAGCGUCGCGCUUCUGCCCGUGUCUGCGGGAGCAGCCCGAGACUUGGGGGGCCGAGUCUGGCUGUGUCCCAGGGGCGGCCGAGGGGGAUCCCCGUGGGAGGAGCAAGGCCUCUUCUGUGCAGCUGGGCCCAAGCUGGUGCUGUGGGCAGGGCAGGUGGCACCGUGGGGAGGCAGAGGCUGCCGUGAGGAGCCCAAUCGGGUGGCUCAGCUGCCUGGGUGUCAGGGAGUUUGGGCAGGGCGGCUGGGUAGAUGAACUUUUGUCUUUUGAGACAGGGUCUCCGAACAUCAGGAAGUCGCCCAGCCUGGGCUGCCUGGGCUUGAACUUGUGGUCCUCCUGCCUCAGCUGCCCAGAGCCCUGGGAUCAUAGGUGCGCACCCCCACCCUGGCUCAGCCACGCUUCUUCCUCUGGGAGCUGAGCUUUCCGUCCCGUGCCCAGGAGACAGGCAGGCACAGGGCAGCUGUGGGGAGGACCCCGAGCUCGGUCCCAGCCUGAAACCUGCCUCACGCCAACAUAGGAAGCAGAGAGGAAACCCAGGAGCCUGGCGUGGGUGGCCGGCGUGCAGGUGGUGCUAGACAGACCCAGGUCUCACCUGGUGCCACGCCAUGGCCUGGGGGACUUGGAGUCUCCGUGACCUCAGGUGGGACGAAGGGAGGGCUGGAAACAGCGCCCGGCCUUUCCCCAUGCCAGCAUGCGUGUAUCCAGGACACCAUUCAUUCAGCCUUCCCAGCAACUCAGCGCAUUCGGAGCUGUUAUAUCUCCACUUUAGCAACGGGAAACUGAGGCACGGAGGUGAAAAGGAACUGGACACACAGCCAGCAAGUGAAGUCACACGCUGCUAGAUCCAGUGACUAAGGUGGAUGAGGACACAGAGUUGUGUGUUUACGAGCUGCCUUUCUGAUGGAUGGCGCUCGGCAGCAGCAGUCACCGUGUUUGUCAUCCCAGUUGGAAAAGUCCCUCAGGAAGGAGGACUCCAGAGCUGCUGCAGGAAGUGGUGAGGCCGGUGGGAUGAGCGUGUGUGAAGGGAGGACAGGAUUUUGAGGGAGACCAUGGCAAUGUGCCUUUUACUUUAUUUAAUACACCUUUUCAACUGAAACAUUCACUGUGCAUUUGAUCACCCCUCGUGUAUGCUGCCUCUGUCUCCUGUUAACACAGACUUGAAAAAUACCCACUUGUCCUCCUUGCCCAUUGAGGACACACCCUAAGCCUCCCAAAGGGCUACCUGCCCUUUCUAUGCUGUGUUUUAUAUGUAAACACCAAUGACAAGUUUAAUGUACAAAAUCGGCAACUUAAGAGAUGACCAAGUCAUAGGAGAAUAACAAUGUAUGGUCCUAAAAAUUAUCUUCUGUCGAUUUCUGGAAUUUUCCAUGAAAUGUUUUCAGAUUGCUGGUAACUGAACGGCAGACAGGAGUGGGCCACUGUGUAUGUAUGUGAAGACCUGUUACCUAAACCCUGCUACACACACUGCUACCUAAUAUGCUUUUAUAGAAUGCAUUUUAUUAAAGGAUACUUACAGCUUCCUUUUAAAAAAAUUUCUUGGUGGUGCUGGGACUGAACCCAGGGCCUUCCUACCGAGCUACAUCCCCAGUGCUUUUUUAUUUCUUUCAAUUUUGAAUCAAGGCCUCACUAAAGUGACACAGUGCCCAGAGUGGGGUGGAACUUUCAAUCUUUCUGUCUCUGCCUCCUGAGUGCUGGGAUUUCAGGCCUGCGGCACCAUGCCUGGCUCUUCCUGUUGUACCCCAAC